rnacentral:rRNA from 1 species
UGCCAGCCGCCGCGGUAAUACGGAGGUUGCAAGCGUUGUUCGGAAUAACUGGGCGUAAAGGGAGCGCAGGCGGUUUGAUCAGUCUGAAGUGGAAGCCCGGGGCUCAACCCCGGAAGGCCUUUGGAUACUGUCAAACUUGAGUUCGUGAGAGGAAAGUGGAAUUCCAGGUGUAGCGGUGAAAUGCGUAGAUAUCGGAAGGAACACCAGUGGCGAAGGCGACUUCCUGGGCCAAUACUGACGCUGAGGUGCGAAAGCGUGGGUAGCGAACAGGAUUAGAUA